CGUGUAGGCGGCUUCGUAUGUCCGAUGUGAAAGCCCCGGGCUCAACCCGGGAAGUGCAUUGGAAACUGCGAGGCUUGAGUACCGGAGAGGAAGGGGGAAUUCCCGGUGUAGAGGUGAAAUUCGUAGAGAUCGGGAGGAAUAUCAGUGGCGAAGGCGCCCUUCUGGACGGUUACUGACGCUGAGACGCGAAAGCGUGGGGAGCAAACA
rnacentral:rRNA from 1 species